ensembl:lncRNA
UCUUUUUUUUUUUUUUUAAUUUUGAGUAUUGCAGGUAACCAGAAGUAUUCUUUCCAAUCUAAGCCAGAAAUGUCUUAGAGAAAUGUGAUUAACGAAUGGACAGCAAAACCACUGAGACAGAAAAGCUCUGUAUCUAUUAGGUAGAUUCAAUAGGAUGUGAGGGAUAUACACUAUGCCAGGAGGGUCACUGCCAACUAGAAACUCAAGUGCAUUGGAAUGUUUAUUCUAUAGCAGCUUAAUCCAUAAGCGUAAUUUUCUCUUUCCUCUGAAAUAUAAGACCUUAUUCUUUCUCAUUUAGCAGAGGACAAAAGUACUAAUUACUUAUGGCCCUAUUAAAUGAAAUCACAUAGGGCAGUAUCUGAUGAAUGAAUAAAUGGUAAAUGAAAUCAGAAUCUGCAGUAUGAUUCUUAUAGCAAGUUCAAGGCUUACUUCAGAAGAUAUUGAAAGGAAAAUUCUUUGCAAAAAAUGAAAGCAAUUCAUAACCUCAUUUGCCUUAAUGACAUGAAGCAGCACGUUGUCCAGAAACAUAAUACUGAGGAAAGCUGAAGGAAAAAAAAAACAAAACACUGCUUUGAUCAUAAUUUUUGUACCUCGUUUUACCAACUUCAUAUGUUUAUUUUCUCUCGUCUAAUCUUUAUUGGCCACAGAAAAAUAAACAUUCUUAAACUUGCAUUACAAGUUUAAGAAAAUUUGUGUUGUAAUUAGUAGUAUAAUUUAAUUUUCAUUUCUAUUUUAACUUUUAAUAAUCUAAAUAUUCUUAGCAAAGUUGUCCUGUUUCCACAUUCUAUUGAAGACAAUGAACUGGCUUGAAACAAUAAACAGUGUCUCUCUUCUGAAGAAGAACCAUGUGUGUGUGUAUGCCAUCCUUACAUCUCCUUUCUAAUUCUCAUCACCUAAACCAACUCCAUCUUUUUACUCCAAAGCAUGUCUCUCAGACUGGGAUUCCUGAUCUCAUGCUCAUCAGUGUAUGAGACACUUCCAGUUCUGCACCUCUCACACCUUCUCAAACGUUUAUUGGACAAAAGGGAAAGUACUGCACUGUGAAUGUUAGUGCCACACACUGGAUUACCUCAAAUUCUGUGUAUACUUUUAGAGGAACCAGAAGCCCAGCCUCAACUACGCCUGCCCAGGUGGAAGCACCAAUGUUAAAAGUGACUUCUUGAAUUCUGGUAACUCCUGUUGUUGAUUGACCUGCCACUGGUUGUGGUUAAAAUUGAAUUCAAGAGCAGAAAUGGCUCUAUACACAGAGCAAAUCAGGUCUUGCAAAACUUUGUUAAUUUGGACUUACCAUGAGCAACAUUACACCAGUACUUUCAUUCUGAAUCUUAGACUUACCAACCAAGUUUGACAUGGAGGAAGAAUUCAUGGGAAGAGGAUCCAUGUAGUUAGUUUUGACUAGUUCAACACCACUAUAACAUCCAGAUCUCCAGAGGCAUGGAAGGAAUUUGGUGCUUACAGAAAACUUUGUAGUGAAGUUCUGUAUCCACUCUAUGCAUAGAAGUAAGUAAUCCAACAUACAUAGUAAAAGGCAAUGAGGAGAUAGGAGAUUUUUGAUAGGAAAGGGGCUGAAGACUUUACUUAAACCUGAGAAUAUUAUCCAUAAAAGGUGUAUCUACUGUAGCAGCAUAAACGUCAGUGCAGGCUAAUUAGGCCUACUUCUUCAUACACACGAAAAAAAAAACAAAACCGAAAAAAAAACCAAAACCAAAAAAAAACCCCAAAAGUGAGUAUUACUUUAGAAAGUAUUUUAUGUGUGUUCUUUUGCGUACUUUUCUGUGCUCCUUAGCAUCCCCUGGUAGCUGUAAAUUGAAGUGUGAUCACAGAUGUAGAUUGGUUGUAAUAUCUCAGUGGGUUGUUACCAGAAUAAGUGAUAUGCCUUAUAUGGAGAUGUAUUAUUGUUGACAACAGCUCAAUCAACAUUCAAAUGGCCUUCCAUUAUAAUUUCUGAAAGAUUAAGACUCCUUCAGUUACAGUUACAUCCACUUCUGCAAACAUGCCCUUUGAUGACAUUUGUAUAUUCUUUUCCCCUUGCUCCUAGAGUACCAAUUAGUCACAUAUUAUGUAUACAGAAAUAACAGACAUUUUAAGGUGGAUUUUGGAUACAUUAAUAAUUAAAUGUAUCUUUGAAGCAAGCUAUUGUAACUUGAAAAUAUCUAACUGGAAAUACAUAUCAGCAUUAUAGUUUAUUAAACACUGAGGUUUGCUACUUGUUUCUGAAUUUUAAAAUUGCUUCAGUAUUUCUAAAGAGUUUAAGGAAAACCUGAGAUAAAAAAGUUGCUGGCAAAGUUGUCACCAGAUAUAAAUGCUGCCAAUGCUUUAGUAACAGAUAAAAAUGUUAUUUUUACCUUCUUAUUUUUUUCUUUGUAUUAGUUUUAAAUCUUCAUUUUUAAAAUGAAACUAAGUGGAAAACUAUCAUGUAAAAUAACAUAGCAGGAACU